rnacentral:rRNA from 1 species
AAAACCGACACAGGUGGACUGGUAGAGAAUACCAAGGCGCUUGAGAGAACCACAUCAAAGGAACUCGGCAAAAUGCUCCCGUAAGUUCGCGAGAAGGGAGCCCCGUCUGUAGGCAACUAUGGGCGGGGGGCACAAACCAGGGGGUGGCGACUGUUUACUUAAAACACAGGGCUGUGCGAAGCCGUAAGGCGACGUAUACAGUCUGACGCCUGCCCGGUGCUGGAAGGUUAAAAGGAGGGGUGCAAGCUCUGAAUUGAAGCCCCAGUAAACGGCGGCCGUAACUAUAACGGUCCUAAGGUAGCGAAAUUCCUUGUCGGGUAAGUUCCGACCUGCACGAAUGGCGUAACGAUCUCCCCGCUGUCUCUGAUGUGGACUCAGCGAAAUUGAACUGUGUGUCAAGAUGCACACUUCCCGCGGUUAGACGGAAAGACCCCAUGAACCUUUACUCCAGCUUUGCACUGGCAUCAGGAUUGUGAUGUGCAGGAUAGGUGGUAGGCAUCGAAGCAGAGACGCCAGUUUCUGUGGAGCCUCCCUUGAGAUACCACCCUUCGCACUCUUGAUGUCUAACCGCGGCCCGUUAUCCGGUCCGGGACCAUGCAUGGUGGGGAGUUUGACUGGGGCGGUCGCCUCCCAAACAGUAACGGAGGCGCGCGAAGGUUGGCUCAGAGCGGUCGGAAAUCGCUCGUUGAGUGCAAUGGCAGAAGCCAGCCUGACUGCAAGACUGACAAGUCGAGCAGAGACGAAAGUCGGCCAUAGUGAUCCGGUGGUCCCAAGUGGGAGGGCCAUCGCUCAACGGAUAAAAGGUACUCUGGGGAUAACAGGCUGAUGAUGCCCAAGAGUCCAUAUCGACGGCAUCGUUUGGCACCUCGAUGUCGGCUCAUCUCAUCCUGGGGCUGGAGCAGGUCCCAAGGGUAUGGCUGUUCGCCAUUUAAAGAGGUACGUGAGCUGGGUUUAGAACGUCGUGAGACAGUUCGGUCCCUAUCUGCCGUGGGUGUAGGAGACUUGAGAAGAGUUGCCCCUAGUACGAGAGGACCGGGGUGAACGUUCCACUGGUGGACCAGUUGUCGUGCCAACGGCAGUGCUGGGUAGCUAUGAACGGACAGGAUAACCGCUGAAGGCAUCUAAGCGGGAAGCCCCCUUCAAAACAAGGUCUCCCUUGAGAGCCGUGGAAGACCACCACGUCGAUAGGCCAGAGGUGUAAGUGCAGCAAUGCAUUCAGCUGACUGGUACUAAUUGCUCU